CGUCAAGUCAGCAUGGCCUUUAUGUCCGGGGCUACACACACGCUACAAUGGCCGGUACAAUGGGUUGCAAAACCGCGAGGUGGAGCCAAUCCCCAAAGCCGGUCUCAGUUCGGAUUGCAGGCUGCAACUCGCCUGCAUGAAGCCGGAGUUGCUAGUAACCGCGCGUCAGCCAUAGUGCGGUGAAUACGUUCCCGGGCCUU
rnacentral:rRNA from 1 species